GAAGUAAAAGUCGUAACAAGGUUUCCGUAGGUGAACCUGCGGAAGGAUCAUUAUCGAGUUUUGAAGCGGGGUUGUAGCUGGCCUUUCAAGGCAUGUGCACGCUCCGUUCAAUCCAUUCUACACCUGUGCACCCACUGUAGGUCUUGGCGGCUUUGCAGGCUUCGCGGUCUGCGAAGCUUACCCUGGGCUUACGUUUUCCACAAACCCUUUGAAGUCUUAGAAUGUGUAUCACGAUGUAACGCAUCUAUAUACAACUUUCAGCAACGGAUCUCUUGGCUCUCGCAUCGAUGAAGAACGCAGCGAAAUGCGAUAAGUAAUGUGAAUUGCAGAAUUCAGUGAAUCAUCGAAUCUUUGAACGCACCUUGCGCUCCUUGGUAUUCCGAGGAGCACGCCUGUUUGAGUGUCAUGAAAUCAUCAACUUGCAGACCUUUGUGGGCUUGCAUGCUUGGACUUGGAGGCUUGCCGGUUGCGUGUAACAACGUUGGCCCGGCUCCUCUCAAAUGCAUUAGCUUGAUUCCUUGCGGAUCGGCUCUCGGUGUGAUAAUUGUCUACGCCGCGACCGUGAAGCGUUUGGCGAGCUUCUAAUCGUCUCCAUCAGAGACAAUUCUUCAUUGACUCUGACCUCAAAUCAGGCGGGACUACCCGCUGAACUUAAGCAUAUCA
rnacentral:rRNA from 1 species